rnacentral:tRNA from 1 species
GGACUCGUAGCUGAGUUGGCUAGAGCGUUGGCUGUACUAAAGCCUACCCCUUGUUGGUGUGGGUUUGAAUCCCACCGAGUUUU